CCCUUAGAUGUUCUGGGCCGUACGCGCGCUACACUGAUGCAUUCAACGAGUCUAAAACCUGCUCUGAUAGGGGUGGGUAAUCUUUUGAAUGUGCAUCGUGAUUGGGAUAGAUGAUUGCAAUUUUUCAUCUUCAACGAGGAAUGCCUAGUAAACGCAAGUCAUCAGCUUGCAUUGAUUACGUCCCUGCCCUUUGUACACACCGCCCGUCGCUCCUACCGAUUGAAUGAUCCGAUGAAUAUCAUGGAUUGAGGAUUAUAGCAGGUUCGCCUGUCUUGAUCUUCGAGAAGUGAAGUAAAUCUUAUCAUUUAGAGGAAGGAGAAGUCGUAACA
rnacentral:rRNA from 1 species